rnacentral:rRNA from 1 species
GAUGAACGCUAGCGGCAGGCCUAACACAUGCAAGUCGAGGGGUAGAAGGAGCUUGCUCCUUUGAGACCGGCGCACGGGUGCGUAACGCGUAUGCAAUCUACCUUGUACAGGGGAAUAGCCCAGAGAAAUUUGGAUUAAUGCCCCAUAGUAUAUAACCUUCGCAUGUUGGUUAUCUUAAAGUUCCAACGGUACAAGUUGAGCAUGCGUCACAUUAGUUAGUUGGUAAGGUAAUGGCUUACCAAGACGAUGAUGGGUAGGGGUCCUGGGAGGGAGAUCCCCCAGAAUGGAGAUGCGGCCCAGACCAGACUCGUACGGGGGGGAGCGGUAAGGAAUAUUAGGCAAUAGAGGCAAGCCUGAACCAGCCACGCCGGGUGCAGGAAGACGGGCAUAUGGAUUGUAAACUGCUUUUAAAGAAGAAGAAACCAUCCCACGUGUGGGGGCUUGACGGUACUGUAGGAAUAAGGAUCGGCUAACUCCGUG